GUUGUAUGGUUAAGUGACUAAGCGUACACGGUGGAUGCCUGGGCAGUCAGAGGCGAUGAAGGACGUACUAACUUGCGAUAAGCGCAGAUAAGGCAGUAAGAGCCGUUUGAGUCUGCGAUUUCCGAAUGGGGAAACCCAACUGCAUAAGCAGUUACUGUUAACUGAAUACAUAGGUUAACAGAGCAAACCGGGGAACUGAAACAUCUAAGUACCCCGAGGAGAAGAAAUCAACCGAGAUUCCGGUAGUAGCGGCGAGCGAACCUGGAUUAGCCCUUAAGCACUCGGUGAAGUAGGUGAACAAGCUGGAAAGCUUGGCGAUACAGGGUGAUAGCCCCGUAACCGACGCUUCAUCGAGCGUGAAAUCGAGUAGGGCGGGACACGUGAUAUCCUGUCUGAAUAUGGGGGGACCAUCCUCCAAGGCUAAAUACUCCUGACUGACCGAUAGUGAACCAGUACCGUGAGGGAAAGGCGAAAAGAACCCCUGUGAGGGGAGUGAAAUAGAACCUGAAACCGUGUACGUACAAGCAGUAGGAGCACCUUCGUGGUGUGACUGCGUACCUUUUGUAUAAUGGGUCAGCGACUUAUAUUCAGUGGCAAGGUUAACCGUAUAGGGGAGCCGUAGCGAAAGCGAGUCUUAACUGGGCGUUCAGUCUCUGGAUAUAGACCCGAAACCGGGUGAUCUAGCCAUGGGCAGGUUGAAGGUUGAGUAACAUCAACUGGAGGACCGAACCGACUAAUGUUGAAAAAUUAGCGGAUGACUUGUGGCUAGGGGUGAAAGGCCAAUCAAACUCGGAGAUAGCUGGUUCUCCCGAAAGCUAUUUAGGUAGCGCCUCGGACGAAUACUACUGGGGUAGAGCACUGUUAAGGCUAGGGGUCAUCCCGACUUACCAACCCUUUGCAAACUCCGAAUACCAGUAAGUACUAUCCGGGAGACACACGGCGGGUGCUAACGUCCGUCGUGGAGAGGGAAACAACCCAGACCGCCAGCUAAGGUCCCAAAGUAUUGCUAAGUGGGAAACGAUGUGGGAAGGCUCAGACAGCUAGGAUGUUGGCUUAGAAGCAGCCAUCAUUUAAAGAAAGCGUAAUAGCUCACUAGUCGAGUCGGCCUGCGCGGAAGAUGUAACGGGGCUAAGCAAUACACCGAAGCUGCGGCAAUAUCUUUUAGAUAUUGGGUAGGGGAGCGUUCUGUAAGCCGUUGAAGGUGAAUCGUAAGGUUUGCUGGAGGUAUCAGAAGUGCGAAUGCUGACAUGAGUAACGACAAAGGGGUGAAAAACCUCCUCGCCGGAAGACCAAGGGUUCCUGUCCAACGUUAAUCGGGCAGGGUGAGUCGACCCCUAAGGUGAGGCCGAAAGGCGUAAUCGAUGGGAAACGGGUUAAUAUUCCCGUACUUCUGACUAUUGCGAUGGGGGGACGGAGAAGGCUAGGUGGGCCAGGCGACGGUUGUCCUGGUUCAAGUGCGUAGGCUUGAGAGUUAGGUAAAUCCGGCUCUCUCUAAGGCUGAGACACGACGUCGAGCUACUACGGUAGUGAAGUCAUUGAUGCCAUGCUUCCAGGAAAAGCCUCUAAGCUUCAGAUAGUCAGGAACCGUACCCCAAACCGACACAGGUGGUCGGGUAGAGAAUACCAAGGCGCUUGAGAGAACUCGGGUGAAGGAACUAGGCAAAAUGGUACCGUAACUUCGGGAGAAGGUACGCUCUUGAUGGUGAAGUCCCUCGCGGAUGGAGCUGACGAGAGUCGCAGAUACCAGGUGGCUGCAACUGUUUAUUAAAAACACAGCACUGUGCAAAAUCGCAAGAUGACGUAUACGGUGUGACGCCUGCCCGGUGCCGGAAGGUUAAUUGAUGGGGUUAGCGCAAGCGAAGCUCUUGAUCGAAGCCCCGGUAAACGGCGGCCGUAACUAUAACGGUCCUAAGGUAGCGAAAUUCCUUGUCGGGUAAGUUCCGACCUGCACGAAUGGCGUAAUGAUGGCCACGCUGUCUCCACCCGAGACUCAGUGAAAUUGAAAUCGCUGUGAAGAUGCAGUGUACCCGCGGCUAGACGGAAAGACCCCGUGAACCUUUACUACAGCUUGGCACUGAACAUUGAACCUACAUGUGUAGGAUAGGUGGGAGGCUAUGAAGACGUGACGCCAGUUGCGUUGGAGCCGUCCUUGAAAUACCACCCUUGUAUGUUUGAUGUUCUAACUUAGACCCGUUAUCCGGGUUGAGGACAGUGCCUGGUGGGUAGUUUGACUGGGGCGGUCUCCUCCCAAAGAGUAACGGAGGAGCACGAAGGUGGGCUAAUCACGGUUGGACAUCGUGAGGUUAGUGCAAUGGCAUAAGCCCGCUUAACUGCGAGAAUGACGGUUCGAGCAGGUGCGAAAGCAGGUCAUAGUGAUCCGGUGGUUCUGUAUGGAAGGGCCAUCGCUCAACGGAUAAAAGGUACUCCGGGAUAACAGGCUGAUACCGCCCAAGAGUUCAUAUCGACGGCGGUGUUUGGCACCUCGAUGUCGGCUCAUCACAUCCUGGGGCUGAAGUCGGUCCAAGGGUAUGGCUGUUCGCCAUUUAAAGUGGUACGCGAGCUGGGUUUAGAACGUCGUGAGACAGUUCGGUCCCUAUCUGCCGUGGGCGUUGGAAGAUUGAAGGGGCUGCUCCUAGUACGAGAGGACCGGAGUGGACGAACCUCUGGUGUUCGGGUUGUGUCGCCAGACGCAUUGCCCGGUAGCUAAGUUCGGAAUUGAUAAGCGCUGAAAGCAUCUAAGCGCGAAGCGAGCCCUGAGAUGAGUCUUCCCUGAUACUUUAAGUAUCCUAAAGGGUUGUUCGAGACUAGAACGUUGAUAGGCAGGGUGUGUAAGCGUUGUGAGGCGUUGAGCUAACCUGUACUAAUUGCCCGUGAGGCUUAACCAUACAACACCCAAGGGUUUUGUA
rnacentral:rRNA from 1 species